rnacentral:rRNA from 1 species
UACGUAGGGUGCAAGCGUUGUCCGGAAUUAUUGGGCGUAAAGAGCUCGUAGGCGGUUCGUCACGUCGGCUGUGAAAUCCCGAGGCUCAACCUCGGGUCUGCAGUCGAUACGGGCGGACUUGAGUACUGCAGGGGAGACUGGAAUUCCUGGUGUAGCGGUGAAAUGCGCAGAUAUCAGGAGGAACACCGGUGGCGAAGGCGGGUCUCU